GAUGAACGCUAGCUACAGGCUUAACACAUGCAAGUCGAGGGGUAACAAGAGAAAAGCUUGCUUUUCUUGUUGACGACCGGCGCACGGGUGAGUAACGCGUAUCCAACCUGCCUAUAACUAGGGAAUAACCUUGCGAAAGUAAGACUAAUACCCUAUGAUUUCCUUUGAUGACAUCAGAUUAGGAAUAAAGAUUUAUCGGUUAUAGAUGGGGAUGCGUCUGAUUAGCUUGUUGGCGGGGUAACGGCCCACCAAGGCAACGAUCAGUAGGGGUUCUGAGAGGAAGGUGCCCCACAUUGGAACGGAGACACAGUCCAAACUCCUACGGGAGGCAGCAGUGAGGAAUAUUGGUCAAUGGGCGGAAGCCUGAACCAGCCAAGUAGCGUGCAGGAUGACGGCCCUAUGGGUUGUAAACUGCUUUUACACAGGAAUAAAGUUAGCCACGUGUGGUUAUUUGUAGGUACUGUAUGAAUAAGGACCGGCUAAUUCCGUGCCAGCCGCCGCCGUAA
rnacentral:rRNA from 1 species